GGCCGGGUGGUCUGGAGUGGGGAGUGGAGGCUGUGUUCGUCCCUUGUAGCUGCCAAUGAAGCCUCUCCUUUUAAAAAUGGCUUGAAGAGCGAAGUGAGCGGAAACCUAAGCCCUCUCCUCCUCCACGCCCCGCGGAGAGCUCUGGUUCCCGGGUAGCGCGUGGGAGUUGGGCGCCCGCCGCUGAGGUCGGGCGGCCGCGUCCUAGGGAGCCUGGGCCUCUUUGUGGCUCCUGGGCUCCGCGGCGCAGACCUCCUCUUCGCCCUCGGCUUGGCGGUUCCGGGCCCCUGACCUCGCCAGCCGCGCCGCCCACCGCUUCCUUCCCCGAGGGCGUAAACCCUAAUUCACUCGGGCCUCGGCCAGCUCCCUGGCCUGCAGCCCGCCCGGCUCCGAAGUUUCGGGGCGGGGGCAGGCAGACUGAGCUCCUCUCCUGAAGUGAUUCCGCACGCAUUUGUUUCGGGACCCCGGCCUCGUCCCGGCCUUAACCUCCUCAGCUUUACAACGGGGAAUAGUUUUUGCCGGCUCGCCCACCAUGUGGUGGCUGGAUAAUAUAUAUUCCGGCUGAGAGAGACUUGUCAACUAUCCCGCCGGGUGGCAGUUCACAGCCCUCCCAGAUUGGAGGGUGGUGGAGUGAGGGGGUUUCAGGUCCCGGCCUGCGACCUCCCAGUAGGAGGGGCUGGUGGUCGUUUAGGUUCCGCGAAGCCCGCCACGCUUCAGGCCAGGACACGUGAUGCCCUUGGGGACCGCACUGUCCCUGAGUCCUGCCUAGAGCAGAGCAGCCUUCCUGGAGCCCUCUACUAGGCUCUUGGUCGACCUCACCAUCUCGCCGUGGGCAGCUGCCCCAGCGAGAGACUCAGAAACUCCUGCCUGGAGCAGGAGCUGAGCGUCACCCAAAACCCAGGUUGAAAGGGGACCCUCUAGGUUGUCCUUAGCUGUGGACACGGUGGAGGCGACCCUGGGUCUCAUCGGAAAAUCAAACCCAGAGAAGAAAUUGGUCUCUGAUGAUCAAACCUCCUGGGAGAGUCACAAUUGAAGACAUCCCCAAACUUUUUACAAAGCUAUAAAUCUGGAAGAAAAAGAAGCUACAUGGAUGGAGGGAGACAGUUAAGAAUUACAAGAUAUUUUAGCAAUAGAAUUCAAAGGACUAAAGAAUCUGUGUGAUGCUACAGAUGAAAGCUGCACCCAGUAUUAUCAAGUCAGCAUCUUGGCAUCUGGAAGAGAAGGUGUGACUUCCAUGGUACCAUAAAUGGGUAUAGAUUGUGAAUUUUGAAGACACCAACUCUCACUGCAGUGGAAAUUUGGAGUUAGGAAUGAGCCUUACCACAGGCUUCCUGUGUCCUCUGUCCUGUGUAGUGGGGUGGUACACUGGGGUGAUGAAGCAAGGCUGGACAACAUAAAACUAGUACCUGGUACUUCCUGAAAUCUUCCAUUCUUCCCCCAGUGCCACAUUUAGCUUGUUCAUCAGCACGUUACUAUCAAACUGACAGAAGAUUUUUCUUUAAAUGAGCAAAUUUUCUCUUCAGAAAGUACAUGCAAUGACUAGUUCCAAUCUGGCCAUGAAACAGGAGUGUCAUGGCAGGCAUAAAAGGGCCAAGGUUUUAAGUACAAUUUUUUUCCUCUCCUCCACACACACAAAAACAUACAUUUAGUAUUUCUUUAAGGACAUGCCCGCCCACAAACAUCUGAGAAACAUCUGUAGACAAAAUGCCAAAAUGCAUAGUAGAAUUUUGACUCACACCUCACCACCCACCAAGACCCCUGUCAACUCACAAUAAACACCUUUCUAGCAUCUGCCCCAGAGAAAGAAACGCCACAUUACCCAAAGGUCAGAGCAAACAGAUGUCACUUAUUGCAGACCCUAAUCAUAUCCAUAUCCAACCUUAGGAGGCCUGCAGUGAAAGCCAACUUCGGGAGUCAGGGUUCCUCCAGUUACAGACGCCCAUCCCUGGGUCUUCCCUCCCUUUCACUGGAGCAAGGGGGCCUUGGAAGUGGUUGUCUCUAGGGGCCGUCCCUGUGCCCUGCUGUCUAAGCCCAUGACUGAGUGUGGGUCUAGGGAGGCAGCAGGAAAUUCUUCAUGGUUGAUCAGCAUCUGAGCAGUCCUCCUGCUCCUCAUUUGGCCAGACCUGAAAUAUUUUUCAAGAACAGCUCCUGCCUCAAACUUUGAUUCCCUGUGGAAGAGUUAGAACCGCUCUCCUCUGUUCUCAUAGUCCUUUGUGCACAUUUCUGUGCCUCCUCUUGUAGCUCUCUUCAUACUGAAUAGCAUCACCUUACAUCUCUGAGUCCUAAGGGACUGAGCUUCAGUUGGAGGAAAGAAGAAGGAGGGAAGGAAGGAAGGGGAGAAGGAAGGAAACAGAGUGGGCAUAUGGGAUUUACACAAAGUUUAAUGAGAAGGCAAUGUUGGAUUGCCAUUUAGUGGAGGGGGAUUGUUUUAUGUUUGUCUUCAUAAACUGAUAAAGCAUAAUACUCAAUCCAGUCACUUCACAUUCAGUAUCUAUAAAAGAGUUUUAAAAACAUAAAUGUGUAGAUAUUUUUUGUUGUUCCUGUGAACCUACCCUUUACCUUUCUGCUAUCAUCUUCCCCAUUUCAGUCCUGAAGGGCAGGUCCAGUUCAUUCAAAGAGAAAUACAAUGGGAAUCAUAAAUUAUUUAGAAUUUAGAAGCCACAGAGGUUUAAAUUUCAUGAUAUAAGUUUAUACAUUUGAAGUUUAUACAUUCCUUCUCACAAUCACAAGCAAGUUUGGGAAGGGCUGAUUGUUGAAUGUGAUAUAAAAGCAAAAAUGAGGAAUAUAGCUCACUUUCCAUAACAAUUUUCUGUCUCUGCCUGCCUCAAAACCAAACAGACACAUGCAUUAUAUAUUGAAUAGCCUGAAGGCUCAGCUUUGCACAGUUCUUGAAACAAUCCUACCGUGUCUGUUCCUAUAUCAGGACCCAUCCUCCCAAUGGCUAAGCUCUAGAGGCAGUUAUGCUGUCAUAAGCCUAGUGAUCCUGGAGUGACGCUCUAUGCUCCUUGAAAUCUUCACUCCAUCCUUAUGACUAAGCAUCUGUUUUCCAUGUGCUUGUGUCCCAGUAUUUUCCCCCACUCGAGCUAGAACCCUAGUCUGACCCUUAGAUCAUAGAUUGGAACCUUCCAACCAAGUCUUAUUAACUUACCUCCGUAGAGACUGAACCCUGCUCUCUGACCAGACUGUACUUCAACAAUCACCACCACUUCUACUCAACUAUAUCUGUGUGCCAGGAGCUCAUUUUAUAUUACUGAUCAUUCUCACAAAGACCAUUCAAGGUAGAUAGCAUUGUCCCCUUUGGCAGAUAAACCACAACUCAAAAUUCGAGAUACCUCAUGCCUUAAUCAAUCUUCCCAGGUAGCACAGUGGUGAAGAAUCCACCGGUCAAGGCAGGAGAUACAAGAGAUGCAGGUUUGAUCCCUGGAUUUGUGGCCUACAGGUCACGGGGUUGCAAAGAGUUGGACACAACUGAGCAAUUGAACACACGCACACACUCACGUGCAAUGCCUUAAUCAAAGCUAAACAACUAAAAUGUAGAAGCGGCAGAUGUCUCUGGUUCCAGAAUUUAUGACCUUCCAACCCCUCCUCUCUGGAACUUUGACACUAUUUAUCCACCAUCCUUAAAGAACUCCCCUUCCAGGGGUGCAACACAGGAGACUCAGAUAUCAGUGCCAGGCCAAACCAGACAUGGAUUUGGACACUCAUAGAAGAAGCUGACUUUGCACCAGUGUUCCAGCUCCACCCAAAACAGCCGUAUUCUCCUUGCAGAUAUUGAGUUAGUUUUAAAUUAUAAAAUAUUUUAAUGACAACCCUAUAAAGCUUAUAGCAUCAUCACAAAGGCCUCUUUAAGUGUUUUUUUUUUCCUCAUGAGAAAAGACAUGAACAAAAAUGUAGGCAUUUCAGAUGUUUUUUCAUACAAAUGUAACUACACUAAAGCCUCAGCACAUUGUCGACUCUUAAAGGAGUCCAAUUUCAUUCCUGAUCACUAGAAGUUACAGAAGCAAACCUUAAUGUCCCUAAGAGUUUGAAAAUUUUAUAGAAUUGUGAACGACUCUUGUUUGCUCUGAAUGGAAUUACUCAUUUAGGUACACUGAGUCUUCUUGCUUUUCUUUCCUCCUGCCUUCUGAGUUUUCCAAA